rnacentral:rRNA from 1 species
CAGUCGCCACGGUAAUACGAAGGGGGCUAGCGUUGUUCGGAAUUACUGGGCGUAAAGCGCACGUAGGCGGAUAUUUAAGUCAGGGGUGAAAUACCGCAGCUCAACUGCGGAACUGCCCUUGAUACUGGGUAUCUUGAGUAUGGAAGAGGUUAGUGGAAUUGCGAGUGUAGAGGUGAAAUUCGUAGAUAUUCGCAGGUACACCAGUGGCGAAGGCGGCUAACUGGUCCAUAACUGACGCUGAGGCACGAAAGCGUGGGGAGCAAACAGGAUUAGAUACCCCAGUAGUCCCUGUCUCUUAUAC